rnacentral:rRNA from 1 species
GCCCUCUUAGCUUUUACUAAGUCAAGUUUUCACUUAUGGCUUAAUAUCUAUCACUGCUGAGUUCCCUUAAGGGUGUGGCUAAACAAGGUGUCAUGGGCUCAAAUUGUGCCUGAUACCAGCUCCUUGUUCCCAGACAGGGAACUGAGGGCAUUCUCACAGGGGUGCGGAUACUUGCAUGUGUAAGUUCGGCUAAAGCUGAUAAUAAAGUCAGGACCAAGCCUUUG